rnacentral:rRNA from 1 species
UACGGAGGGUGCAAGCGUUAUCCGGAAUCACUGGGUUUAAAGGGUGCGUAGGCGGCUAAAUAAGUCAGAGGUGAAAGCUUGCAGCUUAACUGCGAAAUUGCCUUUGAUACUGUAUAGCUUGAAAGGAGCUGAGGUCAGCAGAAUGUGGCAUGUAGCGGUGAAAUGCAUAGAUAUGCCAUAGAAUACCAAUUGCGAAGGCAGCUGGCUGGGCUUACUUUGACGCUGAGGAACGAAAGCCAGGGGAGCAAACGGG